UACGUAGGGUGCGAGCGUUGUCCGGAUUUAUUGGGCGUAAAGGGCUCGUAGGCGGCCAACUAAGUCAGACGUGAAAUCCCUCGGCUUAACCGGGGAACUGCGUCUGAUACUGGAUGGCUUGAGUUUGGGAGAGGGAUGCGGAAUUCCAGGUGUAGCGGUGAAAUGCGUAGAUAUCUGGAGGAACACCGGUGGCGAAGGCGGCAUCCUGGACCAACACUGACGCUGAGGAGCGAAAGCCAGGGGAGCAAACGGG
rnacentral:rRNA from 1 species